AUAGCGCGGAAAGGUGAGAAGCUCGGCGUUACCAGCUAAGUUGCCGAUGAACUGCCAUGAAAAGGUAUUAUAGCAAAGGCGGCAAAGAAAUAUUCGGCUUGAUUCGGUCUAUUGACAGCGAGCAGCAAAGUUGCUUAAACGUUUGCGCUAAGGCAAAGUCGCAUUUUAGCUGUAGACUACGGCGCUAAGGUAAAAUGCUUGCCAGGCAAUACAGUUUACUUGCUGCAACAGCGCACUUCACUUACUUAUACAUUUACGAAAAUAAAAAUAAAAUCAAAAUAAGCUUCAGACAAAAUCAGAAAAAGAAUGCGCUGCGCCAAUAGCGUUCUUCUCACGACGAGUGUCCGCUGCGCUUUUAAAUAUCAUAAAAAUUGAACGUUUAUAUAAAUAUAAAAUACCAACAAUAACGAGUGCUAUCAGCAACGUGAAAGCUGCAUUGAAUGCAAUCAACCGCACAAGAACAACAAUCAACGCUUUAUUGCCGGCGCGUUGAGUUGGCCGCGCCAUCCAGCCAGCCAGUCAGACAGUCAGUUAGCCAAGCAGUCAAAUAGCCAAUACCAGCUACGCACAGUGCUGCGACUGUCUUUCCAAAGGAGUAAAUACCGAAAGAAUAAAACAGAUAUACGAAGCUUGUCAAACCCAGAAGGAAAUGGCGAAUUCCCCCUCAAUUUUUGAAAUAUCGGUAUAAAAUUUGGCGGAGGUCCUUUACUUCUCAAUGUCUCCGUACAACCCAACCGAACAAAAUCAAGUGCUUGUAUGGUAAACUUUUUCAUUUGACGAGAUAUCUUCAAGAAAUUGGGAUGGAUUAUUGUGUAAGCUAACAGCACAAUCUUCGAAGAAAUUGCUCAGAGCGGACCACUACGAAAUACAAACGGACCGUUCAAAAUCAAGUUCUUGUAUGGAACCAUUGUAUUUGUGAAAGCUCGUUCUUUUGCUGCCUACCGUCCACUUCAAUACGAGAUUUUAUGAAAGAUUGCCUUGUCAGAAAUGCUCUCGAAGUUUUAAAAAAAGUCCACCAAGAGUCGAGUGCUUAGAAUUUUUUUCAUGUUUCGAUAACGAUCUACUUCAAUGUGGCAGAAAUUCUCCAUCAACGUAAUCAUCAUACUCAUCAUUAGGGGCUACCGAAUAAAUGAUUUUUGUUUUGUUUUUCUUAUUUGACUUGAAAGUUACGCUGCAAGAAUUAUUCAGUUGCAGUAAAUUAAUUCUUUAGCAUGGAACUUGCACUCCAUAACCGCACAAACUUUCAAUAUUCCAACAAAUUGACUAUGAAUUUUAUAAUUCUUGGCAUAAACGAUUAUCCGAAACGUUUAAUAUUUUAUUCCCAUCGUAAAUUUGUAUUAACUUUUUCGCCUGCGCGGAUGAAAAAAUUACUUUUUCGCACUCGAAGCCACCGAAGUGAUGAAAGGAAGUAUUUUUAAUCCAAUAUUAUGAAAAAAGCUCUGAGAAGAAUUCCACAUUAAUGCAUAUUUAUGCCAAUACAUAUAUACUUGUAUAUAUAUGUAAGUCUGUUUGUGAGCGCGUAAGUAUGUCUUAAUGCCAAGUGCAUACACAAAAUUGAGUUUUAACUUAAACUUUCGGCUUUUUCGCAUUUACUGCGCGCUUCUUUUCUACUCUACUCCCUUCUACAUCUAUGGUAUUUAUUUUCCGUCACUCUUGCCUUUCAUCUUUAAUUUGCGCUCGCAACCGAUUGCAGUUAUUACAAGGCGGCUUAUCGGAGUCGGCAACAUUGUGGUAGUGACUUUGCAUGCAAUAAUCCUGUGUGUCCGUGUGCACACACACACACGGAAGCAUACGUCGUACGUAUAUGUAUAUGUGUGUGCAUACUUAACGAUCUAUGUGUGUAUGCGUGCGUACGUUGUUGUUGCAGUUGUUCUUGUUGCGCGCUUUAUUAUUCUUCUUGUGUAAAUUUUUUAAUUGACAUCAUCUUUUAAUAUCCAAUAAAAACUUGAGCCUGCAACGAGGCCGCACCUCAACAGCAGCUGAUAUGCACCGCCCGUUCCGCCCACACGCGCCACCUUCCAGCAUUCAUGCCCGCCAGCUGUAAUAACAACAAUAAUACCAUGCCUUGACGUGCCAUGCCAAUCGCCAUUUACGCUGAUCUUACGCUGCGGCAAUUGCCGUUGCUUGUUGCAACGGCAACAGCAACAGCAGCGGCAGCAAUCGGCUGUUUUCUUUUUGCCGCUGUCGAUAUUUCUUUUUCGUAUUAUUAUUAUAUUUUAUGUUUGCUGGAUUUCGUAUUUUUGUUUGGUUGUUCUGGUUGCUGUUGUUGUUGGCCAACUUAAGCUACAGUGCUCGCUGGCAGUUGGUGUAUCGCGCCUCAGGCAAAUUAACUUUGCACGCGUUGAAUCUCCUUUCGCAAGCGGAAAAAACGCUUCCCCUUCUCGGAACAUCAUAAAUAAUUGCAAAAGAAUACCGAUGGCUAGAGCGCGCUGCCUUUAUAUAGAGGUGAGCGCUGCCGUGUGGGUGCCUGUGUGUUGCUGCUGUUGGUGCCCGGAUUCGACUUGUCCGCAUAUGUGUGUGUGUGUGUGGUUGUGAGUGCGCGCUGGCGAAAAAACGCGGAAAUGCGAUUAAAAUGCGCACCACAGAAAGAAAUGCAAUUUCACAGGCACACCGAUUGAUGCCCGGAUCCACUGGUAUUCGCAUUCGCACACGCUACGACGGUCAGUUGAGUUGGUCAAUUCAGUCAGUGGCUCGCAUGUGACUUUGAAAUCUUUGGACGACAUAUGCGCACGAACAAAAAACCGACUCCGACAUACGGUGGCAGGUUUUUUAAGCGGCACUUGAUAAAAAAUGACUAGGUGCUCAUACAACCAUACAUAUAUACCUACAUACAUACAUACAUACGUGUGUGUAUCCGUAUGGAAUUGAAUUAAAUAUAACUUAAGUAAGCGACGCUCUCAACACGUCUUGCACAGUAAGUUUUUUACUUGACUGCAACCCUGCUUUUGGUAGACUGGCUUGUGAACAGUAGACAUCAUCCGUUCGCUGGGGGAUCAGUUUAAAUAUAAAUUCUUUUAGAGGUAAUGUAUAUCAAAGAACGAGUUUCGAUAGUAUUUCGAUCAGUUUGUAAAGACUUUUAGUAGAGGAAUGUUGCAAUUAAUAAAACCGUAUAUUAGUUUUCCUGGUGCCCAGGAAAGCCCACCAGCUGCGGAAAGCACAUUUAAGCCUAUUUGAAAAGAAAUGAUUGUGAAAUUAUUGUAAGAGCGUAAAGAUCGGAGUAUUUUCCUCACUCAUGAAGGUUUUUCCAAGAUCCUUGCUGCAUAGAUGUCACGUCAAGUUCUACUCAGCUGCCACACCAUUCAAGAAGUAUUCCGAAGUAUAAGAAUCGCGUCAAUGAUCCGAUUAAUUUUCAUUAAUAUGUUUUAGUCGUCAUUAGGGAAGAAACAUAUUUUCUCUCGAGUUUUUUAAUAAUCGGAAUUCAGUAAUCGCUCGUCCUGUAAAUCAGAUUAUUGGAUUCGGACAGCUAUUGCAAAUCACGGUAAUCGAAUAAUGUCGAAAAUUGUAAGUAAGGUAGCAUUGGUACGAAAUAACUUCUACGGCUACCAAUGAUAUGUGUUUAAUUGGGAGACAGUCGGGCGCACAUUGAGUCUGGUUUAAUUGUGGUCGCUUGUAGUCCGACAGUUUUCGAUCUCUGCUUUCAAGCAACAAAACAUAAAAUUUGUUAAUGUUUCAUUCUCAAGAAACUCUAACUUGAUUAUUAUUAUUUCCUACCUUUUCACCAUAAACAUCUUACGUUGAGUUUACACAUUUUUUAUUAUUAUUUUAUUGUAAGGUAGCCCAAACCUUUCUUGCUUCAAGUAAAGUCGAUAGAAUGAAACGCAAUUGUCUUACGUAACAAAUUUAAUCACGCUCAUAGGAUACUGAGCGGCAACACUGUGAAGGUUCAACCGAUUUGUAUAUUUUUUUCUGUUUAGUAAAAUCCGUAAGAGGUACAAAACAAAAAUAUUGUAAAGUUUUCGCAUAUUUGAAAAUUGUAAGCCAAGAAACUUUUAGGAGGAGGAAUAUUUGGUUUAGUUGAAAAUAUUUAUUGAGAAGGGUUGCCACCUGUUUCAAUAUUUUAAUUUAAUAAAAUUGCCAAAUUAACGAAACAAUAUAUGGGUUACCACCUGUUUGAAAAGGUUGACUAAGGAAAAAUAAAAUAACUAUAGAAUGUAGCUGCCA